CCAGGGAAUCCUUUGACUCACACUUGCAGCUUCCAGAUGGUAAUUUUGCCAAUGUAGGCAAGAUGCUAUUCACAGUUGCUUGUAUUUCUUAUACAAAGGGAGAAUGGGCCAAACAAAUGCUUUCUUGCUAUAGUGUGUUAAAGCAAAUCAGGUGAAACUGAAACCCUUUGUCAUUCUGUAAACAGAAUUUAGGAAGUGGCCGAGUAAAAACCAGUGCAAUCCUAUAAAACCAAACCAGUUGACUGAGAACCAAAGUACUCCUAGAGACUUUUGAAAAUUAGGUUGUUUGGGGCUGAAUAUCGGCUUCUUCCUGCUUUUUCAGAGUACCAGAAACCUCAUCUAUUUUGUUUCUAAAGCUUCCUUUUUUAGAUUAUGGUAACAUCCCAAUAAAUUUUAAGGAACUAUUUCUGUAGGAAGGUUUUUAAGAUUUUUGUUUGUUUGUUUGUUUUUGCUUAACCUUCUCUGUGUUCGUUUGCUCCACUAGACCCAAAGCAUUCCUUACUCUGCUCUGUGCGACUUUGGGCAGCUAUUUAACCACUCAGAGAUUUAAUUCCCACAACCAUGAAAUAGAGAUAAUGUACCUAUUUUCAGGUUUCUCUUGAGAAAUGGCAUAAAAUUACAUAAAUUCACAUACCUAGUCCAGUAUACUGAGAAGAAGGUUCAACAAAUGCUCCUUUCAUCUGAAUCUGAAGUCCAAGCCUCAGGGUAGAAUGAGAGAUAGAAAUGGGGCAGCUCUUGCUCUUGGAAUAUCUUCUGGGAGAGGAGAUAACCUUUCCUUUGAGAAAAAUUGCUGAGUAGACUUUUGAGAGCCCACUGCUUGCCAGACACAGUGCUGGGUGCUGAAGAAAAAGAUGAAUAAAAGACUUCAGCUUCCACAGAACUUAUGGCCUUGUUGGGAAGAGGGACAUUCAAAUAAAUAAAUCUCUAUCCAUGUACUAAGUGCAGCAACUAAAUCAUAUGUAACCUAGAGACAAAACAUAGAACAAAUCUAGCCUGAUGCUGCCUCUUUUUGGAAAUGAAUAUUAUUCUAACACACCCUAUACUCAUUCCUUUAUGUGUUCUCUGUGGCCACUUUUGCCUCAAAGUGGCAGAGUUGAGUACAGACAGUAUACUCUGCUUUAACAUGAUGCAUGUUCCUAAAAAUCACCACACUAUGCAAGAUUGUGCAAUAAAAUUCAAAGACACAUGGGGAAAAUCGCAUUGAGGACAACACUUAAAAACUUGGUCAGGGACACAUACAAAAUGGUUAGGAACCUGAUAAAGAUGACAACAUAAUUUUACACCUGUUAAAUGCUUUAAGAAAUAUAUAAAUACCCCAAUAAAUGUAGACAUUUACCUUAAAAAAGACUGGGUGAUUACCAGAAAGGCUUCAGCUGCUAAGCUAUCAAGUAGUGGAAGAAGGUGUGUGUGAGCCCUGACGGAGGAAUGCUGUAGCACAGGCUGUGGAUAGUGUGGUGGCCUGAGGUGGACGGUAGAUGUGGGGGUGAACGCAAGAGUGUGUUUUGUGCAUUCCUAUUUUGUUUAAGCUAGGUUCAGUUUUCCGUCCUCACCUAGUGUUUCUCACAGAGGAAAUUGUACAUAAAUAAAUGUGAAAUUAUGUUAUGCUCAUGUUGCUAAUCACAUUGAAACAGAUUCACAUUUUUGAAACAACUGUUAGAACUGAUUUUUGUUGUGACAGAGACCAUAUGGCCUACACAUCCUAAAAUACAUACUAUUUAGCCAUUUUUUGGAAAAUAUUUGCUGACCCCUAGCACAGAGGCAGGAGGAGUUAACUCUGAGGGCUCAGGAAGACUCCCAGAGGGUAUUGUGUCUGAAAUGUGUUAGGAGGCUGAAGAGGUGAAGAGUGACAGGAUGACACAGGGGAAUAGGAACAUUUCCCCACUUUUAUUAUUCCCUCUCUCAUCCUGUAUGUACAUUCCCUCAUUGCCACCUUCUUUCCUGAGAGAAGAGCUCUUCUGAAUUUUGUACUGAGUGACAUGAUACUACACUGAUGGAUCAGAAAACAUCUCUUUCAUUUAGGACCACUCAAAAUUGCAUUUGCCCCCAAAAUACUUCUCCCAACAGGCUACAUCUGAGAAAGGCGUAGUCUUGGUCAAUUUCCUUGUAGAAAAGCAGAUGGAUAAUCAGGAGUGUCAGCAGAGGGGCUUUUCAGUGUCAUUAUCACCCUGUUACAAAGUCCUCCCACUUACCACCCACUGUGUGAGGUCCAACUCCUUUCCUGGGGUCUGGUCCCAUCAGACCUUUGCAGCCCCAUCUCUGAGAACCAUAUUGAAUCACUCUCUAUUUCCCUCUGAGAGUUUUGAGUCUGUGUAAAGAUAUUCAAAAACAUUCCAAAGAAAUGGCUGGUUCCCAGAUCAGCAGGGUGUUUAUCAUGUAAUUAAAAAAAUUGACUUAGGAAAAAACCCAAAGAUGGGUCAGUUAAGAAGAGUUGGGUAAGUCGGUCAUAAGGAAAAGAAAAAGGAGAGAAGGCAUCCUGGUUACUUACCUGCAUCAGACACCUUAGCUUCCUGUCAGAAAACAGUUGCAUUACAUAACUCUUCUUGAUCUGCUUUCAUGGCCAAUCAAAUUUUUGCUUAUGAUUUGAAAAUAUGUGGUGGAUGUACUGAUGUGAUUAAUCCAGUCACGGCUUUUUGGAAGCAAUACACUGGCCAUCUGAUGUUAUAUAUCAGGUUCCUGCGUGUGGUUAAUGUGAGUCCACCUUGAGUGUCACCUCCACUCAGGCUCUGAAUAAGUCAGUUUUCUGGAUCUGCAAAUUGGAAGAUUGUAUUGGGUCCCAGCAAGUAAAUCAAUAAUGUUUAUUCACUUUAGACCUCUCUGCUGCCUACAGUGCUCUUCUCCAUCACAUCUACAUCUUUGGGUCAAGAACAAUGAAUGUGAUGCUUCUUUCUCACUCCCAGCCAAUGUUAUUCUCUGGUCUCUGAAACUUCCAGCACAUUAUUUAUACAAAUCGGUCUUGGAGACUUUCAACAUUUUAUCUUACAUUAUAGUUAUUUGCCCAUGGACCUUUUCUUUGUCUAAAUGUAGAAUUCUGAGAAAGUAGGCUCUCAUUUUCCUUUGUGUGCUGCAUUGUGCCUAGCACUCUGAGUGCUAAAAGAGCCAGCAGCAUACUGAGAGCAAUGAUAGGUAUAACAAUUGUGAUGUGAUGUGAUGUGUGUGUGUGUGUUGUGUUGAGAGCUCACAUGUGAAACAAAGGGAUUUUGCUGAGGGAGGAUAUACCCAGUCAUAAAGUCAUGUGGUGUGGGAGGAGAGAAAGCUGAAUAGUUGAGCCUAGAGUGAGAGCCCAGAACCCUGGAGAAGNUGUCUGACUCCAUGCUCUGCCCUCUUGAGCAUCAUGUGAGGGCAUCCUGUCAAUUUUGCCUUGGACCAGCUCCCUAUAAAAGGAGGAUGAUUUAACCAAUGGUGUUCAACAAGGUAGUAGCAGAAGAAUAAAAAGGACUCUCUGGCCAGUGCAUUAGUCCUGUAGAAUGACAUUUAACCUUGAACAGCACCUGUAUACCAUCCUGUAUCAGCCCUUACUUCUUUGUAAAAGACUACCUUCAUGCAGGCCCCAGGGAACACUCUAGAUGUCUUUGGAAGUAGACCUUAAGGAGUAAUACUUCUGACUGAGUUAACUUGCAGACAGUAUGCUCCAAGUUUGGAAAUAUCCAUGCACAGUGACUACGCCCAAGUGAUAGGAAUGCUUCACAAGCAGAGCACGUGGGUAGGGGAGGGUGAACUAUGUGAUCUCCGUUUCAAAUGAUUUGAAAAAUUUAAGAGCCUUUGAUUGCAUCUUUCUUUUUUUUUUUCAUUACAAAAAGAAAGUAUAGCUGUUAAGUGUCAUGCAGUGGAAAGAGAAGUGGAUGAUUGUCCUCUUCAGUCGCUAGUGGCUCCCUAGGUGAUUGGGAAUGAGGAUGGGGGACACAGGUAGAUCACCUUUUGGCCUUAUCAUCUUAUUUGCAACUAGGGAUAAACUGACUUUCUUAUUUGACAAGAUCUCUUUGGAGGAGAAAAUCAAAUUAUAGGUGUGAACAUGUUUCAAAUAAAUUGUCAAAAAGGCAACAUUCUGCAUCUUUUUUAGAAAGGGCAAUUUUCAACAAGCCAUUCCUACAACAGGACUUGAAGGUCAUUCUAUAUCAAAGCAGUGUGAAGAUUCCAGUUGGUGUACUUUUCACGCUCAGUUGGCAAACUUUUAAAUGCCUAUGGCAGACUGAAUGAUGGCCCCUCAAAGAUCUCCACAUCUACCCCCUGGAACCUGUGACUAUGUUACUUUACACAGCAAAAGAGAUUUUACAAAUAUAAUUAAGUUAACAAUCUUGAGAUGGGGAGAUUUUCCUGGGUUAUCUGGAUGGGCUCAGUACAAUCACAAAUCUUCUUAUGAGAGGGAGGCGAGAAGGUCAACGGCAGAAGAAAGAGAUGGAUAAAGGAAGCAGAGCUUGGAGUGCUGCACUUUGAAGAUGUAGGGAAGGGCCCUGAGCCAAGGAAUGUCGGUGGCUGCUAGAAGCUGGAAAACAUAAGAAAACAGUUUCUCCCCAUGAAGUAUCCAGGAGGAGCACAGUCUUACCAACACUUUGAUUUAGGCUUCUGACUUCCAGAUCUGUAAGUGAAUAAAUCUCUAUUGUUCAGAGCCUCUACCUUGGUGGCAAUUUGUUGCAAUACACAUAGGAAACUAAUAUCAUUUCCUGCCCCCCUCCUUCUGUCCCUCUCUUCUUUUUUCCCUCUCCCCAUGUUCCCUUCUCCCUGCUCUUUCCGUCAACUCCCAUCCUUUUCUCCCUCCUCUGCCCUUUUGGGAGUAAACCAAAAGCUGAGAGUGGAGGAUGAGGUAAGGCAACAAAGACAGCUGUACUGCUAGAGGGAGCCUCUGGUCAUCAGGGAAAGA
rnacentral:lncRNA from 1 species